rnacentral:rRNA from 1 species
UACGUAGGGUGCGAGCGUUAAUCGGAAUUACUGGGCGUAAAGCGUGCGCAGGCGGUUAGUUAAGUUGGAUGUGAAAUCCCCGGGCUCAACCUGGGAACUGCAUUUGUGACUGUAUAGCUAGAGUACGGUAGAGGGGGAUGGAAUUCCGCGUGUAGCAGUGAAAUGCGUAGAUAUGCGGAGGAACACCGAUGGCGAAGGCAAUCCCCUGGACCUGUACUGACGCUCAUGCACGAAAGCGUGGGGAGCAAACAGG